GACUCUCGGCAACGGAUAUCUCAGCUCUCGCAUCGAUGAAGAACGUAGCAAAAUGCGAUACUUGGUGUGAAUUGCAGAAUCCCGUGAACAAUCGAGUCUUUGAAUGCAAGUUGCGCCCCAAGCGUUCUGGCCGAGGGCACGUCUGCCUGGGUGUCA
rfam:Brassica napus, WGS project CCCW01000000 data, contig: 25809